GACGAACGCUGGCGGCGUGCUUAACACAUGCAAGUCGAACGGAAAGGCCCUGCUUUUGUGGGGUGCUCGAGUGGCGAACGGGUGAGUAACACGUGAGUAACCUGCCCUUGACUUUGGGAUAACUUCAGGAAACUGGGGCUAAUACCGGAUAGGAGCUCCUGCUGCAUGGUGGGGGUUGGAAAGUUUCGGCGGUUGGGGAUGGACUCGCGGCUUAUCAGCUUGUUGGUGGGGUAGUGGCUUACCAAGGCUUUGACGGGUAGCCGGCCUGAGAGGGUGACCGGCCACAUUGGGACUGAGAUACGGCCCAGACUCCUACGGGAGGCAGCAGUGGGGAAUAAUGCACAAUGGGCGGAAGCCUGAUGCAGCAACGCCGCGUGCGGGAUGACGGCCUUCGGGUUGUAAACCGCUUUCGCCUGUGACGAAGCGUGAGUGACGGUAAUGGGUAAAGAAGCACCAGCUAACUACGUG
rnacentral:rRNA from 1 species